rnacentral:rRNA from 1 species
AAUUGCUAGUAAUGGCAGGUCAGCAUACUGCCGUGAAUACGUUCCCGGGCCUUGUACACACCGCCCGUCACACCAUGAGAGUUGGGAAUACCCGAAGCCUGUGAGCCAACAAACGAGGCAGCAGUCGAAGGUAGAAUCAAUGAUUGGGGUGAAGUCGUAACAAGGUACC